rnacentral:rRNA from 1 species
CUCCGGGUUGAUCCUGCCGGACCCGACUGCUAUCAGAGUGGGACUAAGCCAUGCGAGUCAACAUAGCAAUAUGUGGCAUACGGCUCAGUAACACGUAGUCAACAUGCCCAGGGGACGUGGAUAACCUCGGGAAACUGAGGAUAAACCGCGAUAGGUCAUCACUUCUGGAAUGGGUAAUGACUUAAAUCUAUAUGGCCCCUGGAUUGGACUGCGGCCGAUCAGGCUGUUGGUGAGGUAAUGGCCCACCAAACCUGUAACCGGUACGGGCUCUGAGAGGAGGAGCCCGGAGAUGGGCACUGAGACAAGGGCCCAGGCCCUAUGGGGCGCAGCAGGCGCGAAACCUCUGCAAUAGGCGAAAGCUUGACAGGGUUACUCUGAGUGAUUUCCGUUAAGGAGAUCUUUUGGCACCUCUAAAAAUGGUGCAGAAUAAGGGGUGGGCAAGUCUGGUGUCAGCCGCCGCGGUAAUACCAGCACCCCGAGUGGUCGGGACGUUUAUUGGGCCUAAAGCAUCCGUAGCCGGUUCUACAAGUCUUCCGUUAAAUCCACCUGCUUAACAGAUGGGCUGCGGAAGAUACUAUAGAGCUAGGAGGCGGGAGAGGCAAGCGGUACUCGAUGGGUAGGGGUAAAAUCCGUUGAUCCAUUGAAGACCACCAGUGGCGAAGGCGGCUUGCCAGAACGCGCUCGACGGUGAGGGAUGAAAGCUGGGGGAGCAAACCGGAUUAGAUACCCGGGUAGUCCCAGCUGUAAACGAUGCAGACUCGGUGAUGAGUUGGCUUAUUGCUAACUCAGUGCCGCAGGGAAGCCGUUAAGUUUGCCGCCUGGGGAGUACGGUCGCAAGACUGAAACUUAAAGGAAUUGGCGGGGGAGCA